rnacentral:rRNA from 1 species
GAUGAACGCUGGCGGCGUGCCUAAUACAUGCAAGUCGAGCGGACGGACGAUAAGCUUGCUUUUCUGAUGUUAGCGGCGGACGGGUGAGUAACACGUGGAUAACCUACCUAUAAGACUGGGAUAACUUCGGGAAACCGGCGCUAAUACCGGAUAAUCUUUUGAACCGCGUGGUUCAAAAGUGAAAGACGGUCUUGCUGUCAGUUAUAGAUGGAUCCGCGCUGCAUUAGCUAGUUGGUAAGGUAACGGCUUACCAAGGCAACGAUGCAUAGCCGACCUGAGAGAGGGGUAGGCGACACGGGAACUGAGACACGGUCCUGAGGACUAAGAGAGGCAGCAGUAGCGAAUCGGACGCAAUAGGGGAAAGUAUGACGGAGCAAGGGCGCGUGAGUGAUGAAGGCCUCCGGAGCGUAAAAAUCUGUUAUGAGGGAAGAACAGAUGUGGAAGGAAAUGUGGAGAGAGUGACGGUACCGAGUCAGAAAGCAACGGCUAACUACGUG